rnacentral:rRNA from 1 species
UACGAACCGAGCGAACGUUGUUCGGAAUCACUGGGCUUAAAGGGCGCGUAGGCGGGCCGUCAAGUCAGGGGUGAAAGCCCCCAGCUCAACUGGGGAAGUGCCUCUGAUACUGGCGGCCUCGAGCGAGGUAGGGGCGUGCGGAACUUCCGGUGGAGCGGUGAAAUGCGUAGAUAUCGGAAGGAACACCGGUGGCGAAAGCGGCGCGCUGGACCUCUUCUGACGCUGAGGCGCGAAAGCCAGGGAGCGGAACGGG